AACAAUGUAUAAACAUUUAUCAUGACAAAAAACAUACUAAGUAUUAUUAAUCGACUAGCAAAGGGAAGUUAAACAUACGACAUGAACUGAAUUAACCAGUGCACACGACUAGUUAAAAAACAAACAUCCUUUGAUAACAAGUUUCUAAUUAAAUCAUGGCUGCGCCUGGGCAGCGUUAUUAUGAGAGUGAAAGUGGACGUGCUGCUACUCCCCUUAUUCACAACAUGUAUCAAGUACCUGCAUUGAGUAAUGCAAAAGUGAGAUGACACAUCUCAGCAAGUAAAAUAAUAACAAAUUGUUUAACCACAUAAGAACAUUGUUUUACCACCACUUGAUUUCACAACCUUCUUAUUACGAAGGUGCAGCACGAAUACAAUGUACAACACACCUAGUUACCACACCUCGCAGGUAGAAACCACAAUAGUAACAUAGUAAUGUCACACUUCAUAUAUACCUCAUGAGUGCAAAUGUCUGCAAAUGCAAGGAUGACUUCUGCCUUCAUACCUCUAAGGAUAUAAAGCCGCAUCGUACCCCUCCUCGGGCAACGUACGAUGCUAAAAGUGUACCGGUACGGUCGGACCAUAAGAUCUCGACAUAACUUCAAAAUGCAAGAUGGAUGAUGCGGUGUGCAUGACAUGCCUACAACACUUCUUAUAACGUGAUUCAAAAAGAUACCUCAACUUCAUCCAAGAUGGGAAUCAACCGCAUAUAUGAUUCCCAAAUCAUGAUCAUCCACAAUAUUAGACAAUUGAGAAUUAAUACUUUCGAACAAAUAAACUUCAUCAUAGAAUUCAUUGAUUAACGCAUUUGAUACUUAUGCAUACUCAAUGACAAGGCAUAUGAUGCAAACCAAACGGUAGCAACCACCACUGUAUUUACUUGCCUUCACCGGGAAUUUGAAAUGGUACUAAGUACGAUCGGAAGUCCACCACCUAUUUUUGACACACACCUUAGUGCACAAAUAAACAUAACAAACGCUAAUAAACAACGCCGCACCUACGCACAAUUUCAUCCCGUCGCGAGCGACAACUCUCUCCAUCACCACCAAACUGCAGCAGCGCUGCUUGAUAAUUUCAUAACUUUAUAAUUAUAACAGCAGUGAUAUCAAUAAAAAACUCCAGAAGCAUUUACAUAAAAUUUCCCACAAGUUUUAUAUUCAAAUGAUAAUUAAAUUCCAACCCCUAUUUAGCCCAAAACAGUCCACAAGAUAAACCCUGCAAUCUGUUUUUGGACAGCAGCAUACCCGGAUUCAAACAGCGACAUAUCCUAAAAUAUAACUCCGAAUCAAGCGCAUAAGUACUCGUUGGAAAGGUAUGACAAAACUCUACAUUAUUAUCAUACUGAUUAUCACUAAUUACACACGAAAAAUCCUCAGAAACUGCUAAUACUACUGCUGUUCGCCCACCUGCAAAUCUGUUUUUUUGGACAGCAACAUACCCGGAUUCAAACAGCGAUAUCUCCUAAAAUAUAACUCCGAAUCGAGCGCAUAAGUACUCGUUGGAAAGGUAUGAUAAAACUCUACAUGAUUCUCCCACUUAUUCCCACUAAUUACCCACGAAAAAUUCUCAGAAACUGCUAGAACUACUGCUGUUCGCCCACCCACAAAAUUUCUGGAUAGCACCUCUACCAAUUCGCAUAUGUAAACAUCUAAUCGAUUGAAUUGCAGCACAAAUAAACAAGAGUUAAUCACAAAAUCACCUUGACUUCUCCCCCUUUCCUCCCUCCUUCCUUCCACCAAAUUCCAAUUGGAGAUUUGCACCCAUGCGACGUAGAUCAAGCGGGAGGGCUGCACCUAGGAGAGGAGAAGAUGGGCGGCGGCUAGGGUUUGUGGGAUGGUGGCUACAAGAGUUUAAGGGAGGAGGAGAUGAGAGGGUGG
rnacentral:lncRNA from 1 species